rnacentral:rRNA from 1 species
AUGGUUAACGAGAGUUUAGCUUUUUUUUAAUUAAAGAUUGAAUUUAGUUUNNNNNUUAAAAAACUUAAAUUUUAAAAAGGGACGAGAAGACCCUAAAGAAUUUAAAAAUAACUUUGAUUAGUUUAUUUAUUGGUUGGGGUGACAUAAAAUAGACUUUUUUAUUUUUUAUUCAUUUUAUAUGGUUUUAUGAUCCUAAAAUUUAGAUAAAUAGGUUAAGUUACCUUAGGGAUAACAGCAUAAUUUUUUUUAAAAGAUCUUAUUAAUAAAAGAGAUUAUGACCUCGAUGUUGAAUUAAGAUAAUAUUUUGGGGCAAAUUUUAAAGUAUUUAGUCUGUUCGACUUUUAAUUUUACAUGAUUUGAGUUCAGACCGGCGUGAGCCAGGUUGGUUUCUAUCUUUUUCUAUGAG